rnacentral:rRNA from 1 species
GAUGAACGCUGGCGGCGUGCCUAAUACAUGCAAGUCGAGCGAACGGACGAGAAGCUUGCUUCUCUGAUGUUAGCGGCGGACGGGUGAGUAACACGUGGAUAACCUACCUAUAAGACUGGGAUAACUUCGGGAAACCGGAGCUAAUACCGGAUAAUAUUUUGAACCGCAUGGUUCAAAAGUGAAAGACGGUCUUGCUGUCACUUAUAGAUGGAUCCGCGCUGCAUUAGCUAGUUGGUAAGGUAACGGCUUACCAAGGCAACGAUGCAUAGCCGACCUGAGAGGGUGAUCGGCCACACUGGAACUGGGACCAGGUCCAGACUCCUACGGGAGGCAGCCGUAGGGAAUCUUCCGCAAUGGGCGAAAGCCUGACGGAGCAACGCCGCGGGAGUGAUGAAGGUCUUCGGAUCGGAAAACUCUGUUAUUAGGGAAGAACAUAUGUGUAAGUAACUGUGCACAUCUUGACGGUACCUAAUCAGAAAGCCACGGCUAACUACGUG